UAUAUUCUAGGCCCUUAAACUCAGGAGGUCUCCACGAUCCGUCUGGCCCGCUUUCUCUCAAGCGUUCGGUCGGUCGGUCUAAUGACGGCGACAAUAGACUUAAAUAUCAUAAAUGACAUAAGGCGACCGAUCUGAGUGCUACUCACAGAAAUGAUUGCCUGGACCCGCGUAGUGAUGUCCCUUGUAGGCGGCGUACAUGCCGGGAUUGAUUCCAAUCUACACCACGGUCCUAGAUGAACGGUAGAGGUUCGAACGAACGACGAGAACGCCAAGUGUGGCACUCAGCCGACGAGGAAUUGAGUGUUUACAUCCAACGUAGAUCAGUUAUUACCUGAGAGCAACGUGGACAGGGCAUUAACGGCAAGCCUUGCAAUGGAAUACGAUCUCGGUAGAGCGUAUUGAAUCGAAAGAUGGGAAAUGAGGUCCACGCCGAAUAUUUGCUUGUCCACAUCGGGCUGACUGAGAAGUUCGGGAACAAAGUCCAGGCAAAUGUGCAUAGAUGGAACUCCAGGGACUGUGAGGGCCAAGGCUCUCUGGGGAUAUCCCUAAAUUGUUGAGAAAUAUGAUACUAUGUGUGCUGUGUCUUAAAUUUCUUUCACAAUGGACAAGCUUUUGGCAUACCUGAAAGUGGACGAGCUUGGCUAAGGUCGGAUCCGUGAUGAACGCCUCGUGAAUGUAAGAGCAAACCAGACUCUGAACCUCUCUCAGAUCGCUGAGCACCAUUUUAUCUUCUUCAUCGUCCCUCUGAGGGACGACCGAUUCGAGCAAAAUCUGAAUGACAGCACUCUCUUGAGUUGAAACAAGGGCGUUUUUCAACUCUUCUCGCUCCAUAUCAUUCGAGAUCUGGGCAUUGGGAGUUCUCUCCAUGAUGGGAUUAUCCAAAAUGUGCUGGGUUAAAUGCGUUUUCGAGGCAGCCAAGCAAGCUUUCAAAAUGUAAAUCAUAAUUUCCAAGAUCGGUCCGCAUCGAAACACGCGCCGAUCACACCGCAACACUUGCAAGGGAUCAAUGAUGAUGUCAUCAUAAGAUAUUCUUUUCUUCCCGCAGAAGUUUCCAGUGUCCUCAUGAACAACGGCAUUACAAGUGAUGGACCACAAUUUUCGAGGAAACACCCGGUUCAUUUCGAACCAGACGUUUUUGUAUAAAUCUAGAAAGAAACCCACGCAUUAUUUCAUCGCGUGGAACUUAAAAACUCGGAUCCAAAAGGUUACCUUUGAUUUGUCGGGGGGUAUCUGGCUUGAGCAUUUCGCGAAUGCUUCCGAUUACGACGUCCGAGAAUUUCCAAACAUCGGAACAAGGGAGCUGAAGCAGUUGUCUCAUCACUAAAAUAAGCUUGGAAGGACAGGACUGAAUACAACUGAAUGCCUCUUUGACGUCAGGCAAAGCUGGGCCUGAUCGAGAGUUGGUGGAUGCAAAAGAUGAAGAAGCCGAGAACGAGGACGUUUUGAGGACCCUGUCGUCUUCCAACCAAUCUUGGACGAGACAAAGGUGCGGAAAUUGAGUGGAACACAAUCUCAGGAGCUGCGGGAAGAUGCCACCAAAGUCCUCUUGAUUCUGAUCCGCCACUUGUACCAAAAACUUGAUGGGCAAUUCCGCCAAAAGCUCGUGAGAAUAGCGGAGAACUUUCCGUUGAGAUGCCAAGAUUUGCUUCAUGUGUGUGAGACGCACUUGCUCGUACAACAAAAUGUAAUAAAGCAUCACAAUCUGAGCUGAUGCGCUGAAAUGGCGUUCUCCAUUUAAGUCCAUUUUGGAGGCGUUCAAAG